UGGACGCUCGAAAGGAACAAAAAUGAAAAGAACAAAAAAACGAAACGGGAACACUUCGUUCGUUCGUGCUCUCCUUCGUUCGUCCUCCUUCUCCGGCGACUCCUCACUCGGCCAACGCUCCGGCGAAGAACGACGCCGACGCACCGGCUGUCUCCGGCAACUUUCCGGCGUGUCUCCCUUCUCUCCGGCGCCUCCCACUCGGCCUCGUCUCUCCGGCGACUCACCCGGCGACUCCACCGGCUGAAGCUCCGAAUCCAGGCUGGUGAAGCACGUGGCGAGGGCGUUCAACGAUGAUUUCACCACCAAGGGGGAGAACCAGCCGAAGUCGGGCCGCAGCGUGGUUGUGUGGCAUCGUAAGAAGGUAAUAACCAAGGGUAAUGUUGCCUUGUGUUGGCUGAAUUUCAUGGUUGCAUUCUAUAUGUAGCAUUACUAUGUAUUUCUUGUAGCUCAAAAUGCAACGUAUGAUCUGUUUUACACAAGUUAGUUCAACAUUUUUGUCG